rnacentral:rRNA from 1 species
GAUUAACGCUGGCGGCGUGCAUAACACAUGCAAGUCGAACGAUGAAACUUAGUAUACUUCUUCGGAAAGACACUAAGCGGAUUAGUGGCGAACGGGUGAUUAACGCGUUAGUAACCUGCCUUACACAAGGGGAUAGCCUUUGUAAACGAAGAAUAAUACCCUAUCAAACCAUAAAAGCACAUGCUAGAAUGGUCAAAGUGAUAGGGGUGUAAGAUGGACUUGCGUCUGAUUAGCUGGUUGGUGAGAUAAACGCUCACCAAGGCAACGAUCAGUAGCCGGCGUGGGAGAGGGUACGGGCAGGUUGGGAAGGAGACACGGCCCAGACUCCGAGGGAAGGCAGGAGUGGGGAAGUUUGCACGAUGGGGGAAACCCUGAUGAAGCGACGCCGCGUGAUUGAGAAGGCCUUCGGGUUGUAAAAAUCUUUUGUAUAGGAAGAAAAUGACAGGACUAUACGAAUAAGGGCCGGCUAAUUACGUG